GGGAGAAUACAGAUAUAUUGCGGGAGCAAUUUAUCAACUAUUAUCAUUUAGCUUGGAAUAGAAGCAUACAUUUCAUCUUUAUUGAUCCUAACUUAUUAAAUUAACCAUGCGUCUUUUGAAUAAAUUUUAAGUCUAUUUAUCCUCUCUUCGAUAAUUUCUUGCAGAUCCUCAGAAACACAUAGUCAGUUGUCCUCGUGGAUCCUAGUCUUCAGCAGCCAAUAGGGGCAUGCCAGCUGUAUGACUGCUGGAGCUUUUGUGGCUUGAGUUCUUGGAGCUGCUCAGACUAUCAGCUCGUUUGGCUACAUUUUUCCUAGUUGCCAAGGAGCUGACUAAUGGCAUCAUCUGAGUUGAAGAAAUAUCCAUAAACGAAGAUAUUGCAGCGCGUAGAGCUCAAGAGAUUAAGGAACAACAAUGAGCUGAUAGAAAUUUGAGCGCCGCACCAGAUAUGCACAAAUGUCACCUGGUAGAAAACAAUCUUUUUUGUUGCAACUGCAAGCUAAAAGAUCCAAAUAAAAGGGCAGCAACUUAGUUAUCAUUCGAGUAAUACAUUAUCCUCAACGGAAGUUGCUACUCAACCUCAAAGACAAACUGUUGUCAUAAUUGUUGAUCCUCCGGUAACUUCUGAAGAAGGAUCAACAUCAGCUAGAUGAAAUGCAACGAAUUUUCUAACUCCAACAGCUACUGCAGAUAGUGGUUGAUGCUUUUGUGAAGAUUUUUUACGGGUUGCACAUAGCUGGUCUAUGAGGUACAAAAUCAAGGAUGAAGUUACUAUAAGACCUGCUUGCAAGAAUUGGGCUGCCUAGGGUCCCAUAUCCUGGGAGUGAAAGUUCUAAUUGAUAAAAGCUUUGAGAAGAUUCACUGUAGCAAAGGCAGAACGAGUAUUGUACCUCUAUUUUUCCCGGCUGGUGAGGAAGUCAAAACCAUGAGAAUUGUUAAAGCUGGAUUACGCCUCCAUUCUAAUGCUUGUACUCCAGAUUUGGAUGGGAGUUUACUAUCUGCCUCUAUCCCUUUGGUGAAGGAAUUAUAAAAUCAUCUCAACGAUUACCUUGAUAUUGAAGCUUGAUUCUACACCAAAUACACAUAAGGGUUUUUGGAGUUCAGUGGAAUAAACGGGCGAAGACUAGAAACUGCUUGCACUACUGAUAUGUUAGUACUUCAAUUGAGAGGUAAGGAAUGAACUCUGACGCCCAUCUUAAUUUAUUCUCUUGGUUGUUGAAACUCUUGGUCUAAUUUUCUAUACCUCAAUAGUCUUUUUGGCUUCCGUAAGUUUAUUUUCAUCUGGUGAUCAACAGCCAAUAUGCAAUUGACCUCUCAUUCCUACUUGACAUGUACACCUUUUCUUCUACUUGAUUUUCACAAAGCUGAUUAUACUCAAUUAUUCUAUAUUGUGUUCUUCUCCUCUCUUGCUUCCCUGCUUUCCACAGAUUCUUUUAUGUAUUAUCCCUGCUUUAUGUAGAUUACAUUCAGAUGUUUUGCUUUUGAUAUAUAACAACUACAAUGUACUUCUUGAUUUUCUUUCCUCUGAUCAUUAUAACGAUGUUUGUGCUUCUUAUUUAUCCUUGUGCUUUUUAUGCUUUUUCUCCUUGCCUUUCAUCUCACUUCUAGAUUUUCCAGAUAUAAUAUGGUUGCCUAUGUGAGAUUAUCAAGCACCAUGAAAGACUUAUUGAUUAGCAGGUAUAUUGCAACAGGCAAAGUAGUUGUCGUUUCAGCACAAAAUUUGAGGAAGCCCAGUUCAAAAGUUCCAACAACAACAACAACAACAUAACCAGUAUAAUCCGACAAAGUGGGGUCUGGGGAGGGUAGAUUGUACGCAGACCUUACCCCUACCUUGGGAGUUAAAGAGGUUGUUUCCGAUAGACCCUCGGCUCAAGAAAAACAAUUCAAAGCAGUCAACAAAGGACCAAUUCAAAAGUUCCAACUUCAUAAAUCCAUCAGGAGACAAAUCCUCGCUGGAGCCGUUUCAUGUAGCU